UUCUUCCUCAAUAAAAUGAUGGACUUGGAACAUAAGACCUCUAAUGUUCCCCUAACUAAGACACUUCACAGUUCACGAUUACGCCUAACAGACUGUGUAUUUCCAUCUAAAGAAGGUGCCCUAAAAGGUUCACCAGAUGGUUGGCUGAGGUUUGGGAUAAAAGGAACACCUCACGGCCCUAACGUUUGCAGAGAGCAAAACUCAGCGGAAGGGUACGGAUCACCAGGUGAAGACAAGAAGGCCAGCAUGUCUGGGGACCACACAGCAGACUUCUCUUCUUGUGGACGGUAUUAUGGGGAAUAGCAUGACAGAAACAUAAGGAACAAGAGGCAGCCUCUACAGAACUGCACUGGAGAUGGGAAAAUACUUCACGAAUAAGAAACCAUAAAGAUUAUAUGUUA